CUUGAUGACAUAACCUCAGAGUCCAAAAAGUCAAAGGCACGGUUGCUUUUUAAAGUCUUCCAGACUUCCCCAAAUUUCUAUCCUCUUUCACCGAACAAAUUAGGGUUCUUAACGUAUAAGACCAAGUGCACAACCGUGUCAAUAGCAUACAGGUACCAUGACGAGCCAAAUCGAUACCAACCGGAUUCCCAUCGCAACACACGACAUGUCCCAUGACAUCAUCUCCAGGGUGCCCGUUCUUGGAUGGUUGUCUUUUUAAUUUAUGAAAAAUUAAAUACCGUAACUGUCAAAAGAAACUUGAAUUUUCUUUAAGAUGGCUGCAAAUGUUAUUUUAGUGACCUUUGAUAAUCAAAUUAUUUAUGAUAAUAAACUAAUUAUUUCGUGUUAUAUAAAUAAAAAAUUGAUUCUUUA